rnacentral:rRNA from 1 species
AGCCCCGUAUGCGAAAGUGAGAUUUCAGGACUCGAGUAGGGCGGAACACGUGUAAUUCUGUCUGAACAUAGGGGGACCACCCUCUAAGCCUAAAUACUCGUAUGCGACCGAUAGUGAACUAGUACCGUGAGGGAAAGGUGAAAAGAACCCUAAGUAAGGGAGUGAAAGAGAACCUGAAACCGUACGCUUACAAGCGGUCG